ACCACUUAUCUUUUUAAUUACAAAUUAGAAAUGCAGAUGCAGUUGACCAAUGUUUAGCAUCCUAACAAUGUUCAGGUUGCACAUGCAUACCAGAACACUGAGGGGUGGUCUUACAAAUGACAACUACUUUCAUGUUAGUAAUUUCUUCUGUUUGAGAUAUUCCACGACCCUGCUUUGCUAGCUCCAGUCAUUCAAUUUAUCAUUAUAUCCACCAUAUUUUUAUGCUCUGCAUUCCUAAUCUGCCGGUCACAAGAAACUGUAGUAUAAUGUUAGGUCGCACAUUCUUUUUGUUUCAUGGUUCAGUAGAGGUCUCACGGUGAGCAGCAACACUAGGUUGCAGUAUAAUGUCAGCUAAUUGCAACAUCCUGAGUUAUUUUAUCAAAGUUUUUCAUCUGGAAGCUCGAAUAUCUUUUGACUUUCAGUACACAUCUAUUCCGAUUUGGUAGAGAAGAUCAGAAGAAGCUUUUAUAUCAUAUUUUUGUGUGCUUUUUCUGUAGAAAAAUUACCAUGGGUUGAUGGUUUUGAAUCCAAUUACUAUAUGAUGUAAUUGACUGCUAUUCCUAAGAAUUGCUCCUGGACACAGUGCUCAAUCUUAUCAUGUCUCACAUACUAUUGUGCUGCCUAUCUGUAUAGUUACUCGGAUCAUUUCUACAGAUGAAAAUGUUCAUACAGAAGAAAAUUUUCAUCUGUGCUCCUGGACAUUUUUGCAAGCUUUGCUCUCCAAGUGCAGAACAAUUUCUAUCUGAACACCCAUCAUUAGUGCGACAGGUCAAGGCUUAUCUUGUGGUGUGUCGGCAGCGCGACUGUACGCCACUGUUACUAGGUUGUUUCAUUUCUACAGCAACACAGGCAAUGCUUAUGUAUUGCACAUAUUUUUAUUUCUUUUGAUUUUGCCUUGGUUGUUAUUUAUGCCUAUAGCCUCAUGUAUGGGAUCCUAUUUCAGGGCACCGUUUUCAAUGGUUAGUUGAGGUGCUUCUGGUUUUCUGAAUGAGUACAUAGGUAAUGUUGAAGAUGCUCUGUCCUUAUUUUUUAGAUGUUUACUUUGGUUAUUGUUCUCAUUUUGGUGCUCCUUGGCCUCUUUCUGUCAGUGCAGAUCUUCUUUUUAAAUAGCACGGAUAGAGGACCAGAAAAGAGAUACUUUUCUUGUUGGUGCACUUGCAAGUAUAUGCGGAUCUGUACCUUAGAUUUCCUUGCCUUUGGCUGGCUGUCCUUUUCUUUUGCUAGGCCAUCAAAUUGCUUUCAACUCGAGCGGGAUUUGUUGCAACCUCCUAUUUGUGACGUGGUGCCGCCAAAGGUAUCUUUCUCUCUGUCCUGAUUCUAAUUCUCUGCCAUCUCCAUCUACAUAUGCCUGUGAUUGCCUACUCUGUUUCUAUCCAAACAACAUAUGUGUGUAUGCUGGUGAAGUGAGAGAAAAUAAGCGGGAGAUAAAGAGUGAGAGACAAAACACUAGGGAGAAAGAUAGCUAGACAUCAAAUGUUGCAGUAUAUAGGCUGUUAAAAUCGAUUGUUACUCUCCUGUUAAUUAAAUGUCCAUGUGCUGAUUUAUGUUCUAUGCUUUAUAUGCAUCACAUUAUAUCCUACGACGUUUACCUUUUCCUGUUCAUGGAAAAUGUCAUAGUUGGGAGGGUUAACUGGAAAGCUUGAGUAUAUCUAUCAAUCUGAUCUGCAUAGAAUAACUACACAGGACAGAAUGUGCUCACAUGAUAUUGAUGCAUAAAUUUUAUAAUUAAACAUAGGUUCAGAUUAUCUAGAGACCCAGAGUUUAGUAACUCAAGCGCAUAAGACUGAAUGCUAUAUCCAUGGCAGGCAGUAUCUUCUAUGCACGUUGGUAUGUACAUGAGAUGGGGGAAAUCAUGUUUUUAAGAGAGUGAGAUGUGGAAGGUACUGUUUAAGAAAUCCGGAUGCUUGCUUGUAAUAUGUUUACAUUGUUUACUCAUGUACAUGUUCCUUUUGUAGAUGUUCCUUUAGGAUUUCUAAAAUUGUUUGUUUACUCAUGUACAUUGUUUGCAUCUGUGAAUAUAUUUUUAUAUUUAGGGAUUAUCCACUGCCUCUAGAAAGUUGUUUGUUUCAUCCAACGCUUUUGUGUGGUUUUGCAACUACUAAUUCCUGUUAUCUCUAUGUUUGUUGGUGUAUGGCUGCUGCUUUUGCCUUCAUGGGAAAUGAUUAGGCAGGCUGACUACAUAGUAAUUGUUAGUACUCUUUGAUGAUAGAGAAGUGAAGAUCUUGUUGUUACUGCAAACUCAGGCUAUGUUGUUGACAAUGACAUCAGGGGACAUGUAUAUUGAACAUGUGUUGAUCCACUAAUGGCAAAUCAGCUACCAGCUGGCUAUCAAGACUUUGCUUAGGUGUUAUUAGCCGCUACAUCCUCCGCUUCAUUGAGCCUCGACCCCCCACUCUUCUGAGGUUUCGUCAGGUGAUUGCCUGCUUCAAUUCUACAUUCUGGACAAAGCUUGUAGGGUUAGCGACCUUGGUUGGGUGAUUUUGACGAUAUGAUGCAUUUCUUAGGAAAUAGCUCGAGAAGUGAUGUGUGAUGUUGCCUGCAAAUUGGCUUGUUUUGCUUAGAGCUUUUGGCAUAUGUGGUGAUUUAUUACCGGUGGUUAGAAUUUAGAAGCCUGCUGCUAGCCUCAUGCUUGCUGUCAUCAUAUACACAUAGUAUAGAUGAAGUUGGAUGAUAAUUCUCUCGUAUCACUAUGUGGGGCCUGAGCCUCAUACUAAUCUCGCACGGUCAAGUUUAUUGCUGCAAUUUGAUGUUACGAUUUAUGCUAAUGUAAACAUGACCAAGCUAGAGGAGAGCUUUGGUUUUUUUUCGUAUUUGUUCUGAUAGCAUAAUGUCUCCUAGGUUCGAUAAUGUCUUCUCUCCAAUCUUGUUCCCUUCCCAGCUUCCACCUAUCUUCAUGAGCAAGUGUAGCUCCAUCCAUGACAAAGGUAUAGAUCAGAGAGGUCUGAGGAGGGACAGGGUUGGAAGCUAGGAAGGGAAGUAAACUUCCUGAGCUUCAGUUCUAGGUGAAAAGAGAGUGUUUUUUAUUUUGUAUUUACUUAUUUUUUUCUCCGACCAGAGAAUUGUUUUGUUGGACUACGACUGGAUUGAAGUUGCUAGCCUGAAUGCAAAUUUCCUUGAGAUGGUUCAUCACCAAAAUCCUUAAGAGAUGUUCGAAGGUGGGUCAGUGAGUGGUGAUGAUGUUCAUGAGAAUUCCCACACAUUGGUAAUUUUUAUAUGGAGGUGCAGAGUGCCACGAUCUCAAAUCUAGAGCAAUCUUGUGUCAGUGUUCACGUAUUGUGAUUAUCUAUGUGGCAUUGGGAUAGUAAGUUCCCCCGUCCAUACAAGGGCGCUAUUUACAAUAUGAGGGAACUUAUGAUUUAUAGGAGCUACAACUUAUGAUUUAUAAUGCUGCUAUUCCAUGGUUAUAUAUAAAAUAAAACAAAUUAAGUUUUUCCUUUAGGUUUUCAUCACAGUUCCUUUUCAUGAUUCUGUAGCACUGGAAUGAUUAGUUUGUUCUUCAGUAACUUCUUCUUCAGUAUCAUAGUUAGUAAACAUAUGAGGUUUGGCAAGUUAGUAUUUACCAUUGAUGCUUGAAAUAAAUAGCAUGACUGGUGUUGCACCAUGUGUGUGUGUAGGUUUUUCCUUUUAGUUUACUUAUAUAUGCCUCUCCUAUAUUCUAAAACAAAUUCGAACUGUUAGUAUUUACCUUAAUCUCUUCCACAUGGAAGAUAGGAAAACUACAUACGGAAGGAUGAGUUCUAUAGCGUAUCAUAUUCAGGCAUUUGCACUAUUUUCUUGAUUACCUCACUAUGAUUAUUGUUGUAGACUUUUAGUAUAUUCCUCACAGGCGAAUCCGUAUUUUCUUCAAAUCUAUAGCACACAUCUUUUUGCUAUAGUCAUUUCGCCAUGGAUGCAACAGUCUAGGAAAACAAGAUACCUGUUUGUUUUCAUUCAUUUGCCUUUUUAUGUGAGAAGUGCCUCCAUGGGAUUAGCGAGGUGUAUUUAUGCUUACCCCUUUUUAGUGUUUGGUGAAGCCGAUGGACUGUGAACAUUAUGUACCACAUAUUGUGGCCUUUUUCCUUUUUAUUACUUAUAAUAUGUCAUGACAAUUUAUUUUCCUGAGCCAUUUAGUCAACUAGCCAGUCAAGGAUAGCCAAUGGUCUUUUGGCUAUUUGUUUGUUCAUUUCAUUCAACAUGCAUGUUUCUGGAGUAGUCUUGGCGCAAGACACAUAAUCAAAGUUGAUUUUCUUAUAAGCUGAUCAUCACAUAGCUAAUUGGUAGUUACACUAGCUGAGCUUGUCCUAUGCUCAUUGUACAGGAUAGAUAAAGUGUAUGUGAUCUUCUUGAUGAGGAGAAGUCUUUUUAGAGAUUCCAAUACAAAUUACAUACGGAUGUAUAUAGACAUAUUUUAGAAUGUAGAUUCACUCAUUUUGUUCUAUAUGUAGUCCGCAUUGAAAUCUCUAAAAGGACUUAUAUUUAGGAACGGUGGGAGUUGGAUACAAUUAAGUAUUUAAAUUAACCAUAUGAGCACUAUUUCUUUGAGUGCCACAAGGAUGUCAUCUUUAUUCACAUGUUAUGUGUUAUGUGUUCACAUCAACUUCUGCCCUUUGUUUUCUGCAGAACACGACAACUGUUCGUCACCUAAAAGGACAGGAUGACACCAAAGGAGUUAUGAUAGCAGCACUUAUAGGCAUUGAGGAAUUGGCAAAGAGAUUACGCUUCAUAGGUAUGAAGUUAGAACAACGGCUGGAACUAUGAAAGGCCGUUUCUAAUUACCUUUGUUGGAUCUGUCUUACCUACAAUGCAUGUGUGACCCUUGGAGAAGCCACUUUUUGUUUCGUCUGCAGUAUACUCCAUGUUUAGUUCCAAUGAUGCCCUAACCCUUUUGUUCCUGCUCUGAAGAAUAGGACAUGUAUAGGCUUCAGAUUUUUGUAAUCAUCUAUGUGCUAAACAUCCCUUUGUGGUCAUGUGUUCUUUAUGUAAUCAAGUAUCUAUUCAUGAUGAUAUAUAUGCCCAGCUAAUGUUUGAAAAGAUCCAUCAUCUGUAUCACCACUGCUGGAUAACCACUAUAAAUCUACUAGCAGUACCGGUCAUAUAAAAUAGCUACCGUUACCGAUCAUUUGUAUUACCACUGCUGGAUAACCAUUAUAAAUAUAUCAGCUAAUGUUUCUUUAAUUUAUUUGAUUUAACUUUUUAUUUUUUGAUUUGACAUCUUUUUUAGACAGAAUAAUUUAAUUUAGUUGUUCCAAUUCAAAUUUACACCAUGUUGUUGGGCUUAGAAAAAAGGUAAAUAAUAAAUUAAGUUUUGUUGUGUCGACAUGGGCACCAGACACGGUUGCUGAUGCCUUGACCUUAUCAAUCCCCUUCUUCCCUCCGUGUACCAAACCUUCUCUCGCUCACCCUGUCUCUUCCAGACCAUCGUCGUUGUUCCUCAACUUCGAUUGCAAUAUCAACACGUCAGUUCCUCAGGUGGAUCCUCACUGAAUCAGACCGCUUAACAGGCGAACCUUUACCAACAUGGUAUUAUUUCAAUUUUGAGUUAGUGUUGUUCCUUAGAGACAUGGUCAAAGAUUGAGA
rnacentral:lncRNA from 1 species